UUCCCCUGAAUCUGGUAGCCUCAGCACGCCUUAUCUCUGGAUAUUAAAAAUCCAUAAAUUAACGAAAAGCAACCAAAGAAUAGCUAAUACAUGAUCAGCAGUAACAUACCAAAAUCAUGUUCAAUCUUGAAGCUGCUUUUAGUCAUAUCUGCUGAUAUAUCACUACAGAACCAUUAGGAUGUAAAGUCAACUAAUACCCUAUUUUUAGACCUUACCGUAGACAAAAACCACAAAAUUUAAAGUAGGACAACAAUUCAAAUUCAAGUUAAGAUAUCCUUUAAUUCCAAAUUAAAUAAAAAAGAAAGAAGAAAUAAGAAUCCGAUCAUCAUAAAUUCAAGACAGUAAAGAAGAAGAAACCCAAAUCAUAUUUGAUAUUGAGAACAUAAAGAAG
rnacentral:lncRNA from 1 species